UACGAAGGGGGGCGAGCGUUUGUUCGGAUUUACUGGGCGUAAAGGGCGCGCAGGCGGCCAUUCAAGUCAGGCGUGAAAGCCCCGGGCUUAACCUGGGAGGUGCGCUUGGGCUGGGUGGCUAGAGAUCGGGAGAGGAGAGUGGAAUUCCCAGUGUAGAGGUGAAAUUCGUAGAUAUUGGGAAGAACACCGGUGGCGAAGGCGGCUCUCUGGACCGAUACUGACGCUGAGGCGCGAAAGCGUGGGGAGCAAACAGG
rnacentral:rRNA from 1 species